rfam:Leptolyngbya sp. O-77 DNA, complete genome.
GUUCUACUGCGGCGUUGGUGACUGCCAAUAACGUUUUAUGAUCUAUGCUUCGACUAAACGGGAGUCGUGAUGUCUCGAUGGCAGUAGACUGAGCCUGUCUUGGCCACAAGCUUGUACUCAGAAACUUUAAAUCGAGGCCGAGAGUCCCACCUGGAUUUAUCCAGGUCAAAAACUGAGGUAAGACGGCGUUGUGGGGAACUU